GUCCUGUUGCAAAAACACAGGCAAAAUGCCAUCUGGUCCCGCCAAUUUAAAAGGCUUAAAAACACUUAUAGCCCACCUAAUGUUAGACUGAUUAAUCAUCGCCCUCACAAGGCACCAAUCCUUCCUUGUGGCAUGGUAAUCACGUCCAUCAAGGUCAAACUGCACCUGCAAGGAGGACGACUCCUCAAUCAAAGUAGACCCAGGAAAGUGUACCUGAAACAGUUUCUUCAAAGAGUCCCUGCAAGUACUGGUCAUACUACCAUCAGGCAGCCUAAGAGAACUAACGUUGCAAAAGUCUCCAUAGGACAUUAUCUUCACAAGUCUGGAUACCUCAGGUAUAUCCUCAAUUCCCUGACAAUACCAUUU
rnacentral:lncRNA from 1 species